GGGUGCGAUCAUACCAGCACUAAUGCACCGGAUCCCAUCAGAACUCCGCAGUUAAGCGUGCUUAGGCGAGAGUAGUACUAGGAUGGGUGACCUCCUGGGAAGUCCUCGUGUUGCACCC
rnacentral:rRNA from 1 species